UAAUACAGAGGGUGCGAGCGUUAAUCGGAAUUACUGGGCGUAAAGCGUGCGUAGACGGCUAUCUAAGUCGGGUGUGAAAGCCCCGGGCUCAACCUGGGAAUUGCAUUCGAGACUGAAUAGCUAGGGUGCGGUAGAGGGAAGCGGAAUUUCCGGUGUAGCGGUGAAAUGCGUAGAUAUCGGAAGGAACAUCAGUGGCGAAAGCGGCUUCCUGGACCAGCACCGACGUUCAGGCACGAAAGCGUGGGGAGCAAACAGGAUUAGAUACCCUGGUAGUCCACGCCCUAAACGAUGCGAACUGGAUGUUGGGUGCAACUAGGCACUCAGUAUCGAAGCUAACGCGUUAAGUUCGCCGCCUGGGGAGUACGGUCGCAAGACUG
rnacentral:rRNA from 1 species